rnacentral:rRNA from 1 species
GCGAUACAGGGUGACAGCCCCGUACACAAAAAUGCACAUGCUGUGAGCUCGAUGAGUAGGGCGGGACACGUGGUAUCCUGUCUGAAUAUGGGGGGACCAUCCUCCAAGGCUAAAUACUCCUGACUGACCGAUAGUGAACCAGUACCGUGAGGGAAAGGCGAAAAGAACCCCGGCGAGGGGAGUGAAAAAGAACCUGAAACCGUGUACGUACAAGCAGUGGGAGCCUCUUAAUGGGGUGACUGCGUACCUUUUGUAUAAUGGGUCAGCGACUUAUAUUCUGUAGCAAGGUUAACCGAAUAGGGGAGCCGAAGGGAAACCGAGUCUUAACUGGGCGUUAAGUUGCAGGGUAUAGACCCGAAACCCGGUGAUCUAGCCAUGGGCAGGUUGAAGGUUGGGUAACACUAACUGGAGGACCGAACCGACUAAUGUUGAAAAAUUAGCGGAUGACUUGUGGCUGGGGGUGAAAGGCCAAUCAAACCGGGAGAUAGCUGGUUCUCCCCGAAAGCUAUUUAGGUAGCGCCUCGUGAAUUCAUCUCCGGGGGUAGAGCACUGUUUCGGCAAGGGGGUCAUCCCGACUUACCAACCCGAUGCAAACUGCGAAUACCGGAGAAUGUUAUCACGGGAGACACACGGCGGGUGCUAACGUCCGUCGUGAAGAGGGAAACAACCCAGACCGCCAGCUAAGGUCCCAAAGUCAUGGUUAAGUGGGAAACGAUGUGGGAAGGCCCAGACAGCCAGGAUGUUGGCUUAGAAGCAGCCAUCAUUUAAAGAAAGCGUAAUAGCUCACUGGUCGAGUCGGCCUGCGCGGAAGAUGUAACGGGGCUAAACCAUGCACCGAAGCUGCGGCAGCGACGCUUAUGCGUUGUUGGGUAGGGGAGCGUUCUGUAAGCCUGUGAAGGUGGCCUGUGAGGGUUGCUGGAGGUAUCAGAAGUGCGAAUGCUGACAUAAGUAACGAUAAAGCGGGUGAAAAGCCCGCUCGCCGGAAGACCAAGGGUUCCUGUCCAACGUUAAUCGGGGCAGGGUGAGUCGACCCCUAAGGC